rnacentral:rRNA from 1 species
AACGAACGCUGGCGGCAUGCCUAACACAUGCAAGUCGAACGAGACCUUCGGGUCUAGUGGCGCACGGGUGCGUAACGCGUGGGAACCUGCCCUUAGGUUCGGAAUAACUCCCCGAAAGGGGUGCUAAUACCGGAUAAUGUCUUCCGACCAAAGAUUUAUCGCCUUUGGAUGGGCCCGCGUUGGGUUAGCUUCUUGGUAGGGUAAAAGCGUACCAAGGCGACGAUGCAUAGCUGGUCUGAGAGGAUGAUUAGCCACACUGGGACUGAGACACGGCCCAGACUCCUACGGGAGGCAGCAGUGGGGAAUAUUGGACUGUGGGCGAAAGCCUGAUGCAGCAAUGCCGCGUGAGUGAUGAAGGCCUUAGGGUUGUAAAGCUCUUUUAGCCGGGAUGAUAAUGACAGUACCGGGAGAAUAAGCACCGGCUAACUACGUG